CAUACACGAGAUAAAAAAAUGACUAAAACUCUCAAGUUUGUAUACUAUAUGAUUUUAUUUCUUUUCCUAAUUCUUAUCAUAAAGAAUGUAGAAGGUAGAUAUUUAAAGAAGCAAGCUGAAGCAAUGUUAAAGGAGUGUCAAAAGUCUGAUUGUCGACUAACUAAGGGUCAAAAGAUCAUAUGCAUUAUGGAUAGAUCUAAAUCAUUUCCAAUUAAGUCUUGCAAGGAGGAAUAAAUUUUUACACUAGCCAAACAUCUAUUUAAUAUAUGUAAUGACACCUAAUAAUUGUAUUUUUUUGUUUGUUUGUUUGUUUGUUUUUAUUUUGUUAUCUCAUAGACCUUGUGAUUUCAACUUUGUAUUCUAACAUUUUGGUAUUAAAAUGAAAUAUGAAAAUAAAGAAUAUUAUAAUUAUAUUA